CGAAGGCAAGCGGAUCUCUUAAAGCCGUUCUCAGUUCGGACUGUAGGCUGCAACUCGCCUACACGAAGCUGGAAUCGCUAGUAAUCGCGGAUCAGCACGCCGCGGUGAAUACGUUCCCGGGCCUUGUACACACCGCCCGUCACACCAUGAGAGUCUGUAACACCCAAAGCCGGUGGGAUAACCUUUAUAGGAGUCAGCCGUCUAAGGUAGGACAGAUGAUUAGGGUGAAGUCGUAACAAGGUACC
rnacentral:rRNA from 1 species